CCCCCAAAGCAGCCGGGCAGCGAGGCUGCUCCGCGCCGGCUCCGGCGGGCCCAGGGACGGCUCGGCCCGCGGGCAGCUCCCACUGCAGGGCAGCUCCCACAGCAGGGCAGCCGGGUGCUUUUAGGGAUGGGUGCGGCAGAACCAGCCGGGCCAAAGGCAUCCAGCCCGGCCAGAAGGCAUCCAGCCCCGCGGGUGCCCGAGAGCAGCAAACGGGACAGCGCACAGGCCGGGCGCGGAUGGUGCCACCGCCACAGCCCACACGGGGCUGCGGAGCCCUGCUCGUGUGGGCAAAGGGAGGCCUUUGCAUUUGGAUUCAUGCCGAGGGAUCCGGGACAGCUCUGCCUGACAUUAAUAUGUUUGGCACAGCAUUAAAAAAGAGGAGCAAAUGGUGUAGGAGGCCAAAGUAGCAGCCUUGAUGUAGGACAUGAAAGGAGGAAUUUGCUAUCAGAUCAGAGAUAAGGAGGCGCCUCUGGGAAAAAAAAAAAAAACACAACAAAAAAAAAACCAAAAGAACGCCACCAAAAAACACUUGAAUGGCUGCUGAACACCUGUGUGAUGGACAGGAAUUUGGAAAGAGCUGUUUCUCAUUCAAAGACACACACAAACCUGCCUUUCCCUGGCUUAUUUCACAGGGGAGUUAUGCAGGAAAGAUGUGGGAUGAAGCAGUGUUCAAACAGUGCUGCUAAACGCUGUGGAAGACUGAAUUGAGUGUAUAGAAUGGACAGUAACAAUGAAGCAACAAGGUUUGUCACUAGGAUAUCUGUACUAAAAAAAAGGGAAGUGAAAAUUACUCAGUGUGGGCAGGUAACCCUCUAUUUGAAUAGUGGAACUGCAUUUUUAGGUUUACUGUGAGAACCAGAUUAGUCCAAUGGCACUGAACAUAGCACUCAUUUUGUGGGACAGGAUCUUUCCUUCCCAUUUAGGCUGUAGUGAGUGCCUGCUCCUAAGACAUUUUUACAUAUAUGGUUUGAUUCUCCAUAGAUACUAGACAUACUGUAAAUGACAUGAUUUAUUUAUUUAUUGAUUAUUUAUUUAAUUGUUCAAGCUGGUUAGCACUUUAAUACAGAGAAAACAAACUGUAAGCAGCUUGUUGCUGCAGAAACAAGGGUAUGUACAGCCAUGAUUCAGUCCAAGAAUCUUCAUAAAACUAGAUAAACCACCCAGAAUCAGUCCUUUCACCACAGAAAUGAAAAGGUCUGAAAGAGCACCGCAAAGAUUUCAUUAGCCAUAGCCAUGCCACCACGGAGAAGGCAGCAUCCAAACACCACUGGGAAAUACAUUUCUGCAGAUAAAGGGAAGACACCAUCAUUGAAGUUGCCUAGGGGAAAGCUCCUAAGGGACAUGGGAUUUUAAGCCUGGAAGUAUCUGCAUACACAAGUGACAUUUGACAGCAAGAUCUGAAUAGAGUAAGGUCCCAAAUGUUGAGUUAUGGGAGCAACCAGCCUGUGGUACAAUGCAUUCUGGAACAUGACUAUCUUUCAGUAACUUAGGAUGUUAAAAUUAAUGUCUUAUAUUUUUAACUGAUCUACACUAUUUCAGGCAGAAUUUUUUGAGCUUGAGGCAGGGAUUACUCAAUGUGUUUAGACAGUGUGGCUUGUGUAAGCAGGCAGCCUGGAAGAGGUACAACACUUUUCCAAGAUUUUGAGACAAUGCCAAUACCAGAAGAGAGGACUUCUGACAACCCCUGCUAUUUGUUUGCACAGCACAUACACAGAAAGAUAUCUCUCUCAGCUCUGCUCAGGUGGUUGCACGUCUUUCUGCCCCUGCAAUGUGAGCAGAGAAGAGCUGCCCACAGGAACCAUGCAAUAGUCCUUGCCUACCAUCACAUCCCACCUGCAGUAACACCUUGAGGAGCCCAAAGGGGAAGUUGAUGGUGCAAAAGGCACCACGAAGUGUCAGAUCCAGUCUGGGCAAGAGAGAAAAAAGCAGAGAACAAGAAAAUACAAGUAAAAGUGUUUUAAAACCCAAACCAACAAACAUACAAAAACAACAACAAAAGCAAAGCAGACCUUUUCUGAGCUGUGGCAAAUUGGUCCUGGAAAAGCAGUGCAAAUGAUUAGAAGAUAAGGAAAACCUACCCCCAAAACUGCCUCUUGUAUUUAAAAAUCACAUAAACACUAGAUGGAUUUGAGUUCCUUAAUCUGCAUUCUGCAUCUUUACAAAUACAGGUCAUGCAGAUAAAACGAGAGGCAAGAGGGGUAAUGAUGAAGAACAGCGGUGGGCAUCACCAAAGUACACUCCUUUCCUUAGGAGGCAAUACAGCUUUCCUCUGACUGCUCUCAUACUAUACCCAAAGCUUUCCAAAAUCACAGAGGGACUAGGGAACCUCUCCCUGUCAAAAGUACUAUUGGCAGACACAAGUAUGUAGGAGCUGAUGGAUGCAGGGCACUGCCUGUGACUGUUACUGGUUCCUAUUCCUACAUGGGAGCUCCUUGCUUGCUGCUGUCUGGGUACUCAAGCCAAAUGGUCUUUGUGGGAUCAUUCUGCAAAUGGGUGUCUCCAGGAAGAGGCUGUGGUCACAGUGCCCAGUCAGCCCUCUUUGUUUUGAGCCUUCAAUGCUGGUUUAACCACAAGGGAGGUUCAGCUUGCCCUGCCCCAGUGCUGUCCCCUGGGAUGCUGACAGAACUGGAAGAAACCACUGGCAGGGGAGGUGCACAAGGGCUCUGGCCUGCAAAGCUGAGCUUGCUGGCCACAGAGUCCUUGGCCAGGUGGCAGUUCUGGGACACAACCCUGCCAGCAGCUUGGCUGAGGGCAACCACGGCCACCAGUCCCUUCCCAACCCACCCAUAGAGGGAAAGAUGCCUCAAAUAAAGACUUUGAGUUGGGGGACAGCCAGGAUUUGGCCCUGUGCAGCAUUUAAAUAAGCUUCUUCAGCUAUAUUUGGACCUCUGAAAUACUCCUAUGGUUUGAAGUGGUUUCCAAGAACAAUGAAGUAUUCCUAUCGGUCUGUAUGCUCUGUCCCUCCUCCUGUCUCCCUAACACUCUGAUCCCAGCUGGAAACAUUGCCCAGGCAGAAAAAGACAAGAACACAAGUAACUUGCCUGUGGUUUUAGGGAAGUGGAAGCAGGACAGCAAGCCCCAGCCCUACAAAUUGUUAUCUUUGAGUGCAUAAUUCUUAAUUAUAUACUUAAGCAAAGCCUAGAGUAAUAUAGUAAGUUAAGCAUGUAAUUCCACUUUAACUGAUGGGCGAAUCCCUAAAGCAAAUGCUUAUGUGUACACAGGGCUGCUCCCUAACUCAGCCAAGACUCACUGGGGAGCCAGAGAGGUCUUGUUCAGGUGGCACUGGGGAUGCUUUAGCAAGGCACCAUACUGAUGUGCACACAAGUGGAUGACAAAGCCAUGCCCCAUAUUUGUACCAUGAGCUCAAGUCACCAAGAGAGCAACUCUGGGUGAACCCACUUUUACUGGAAGAAGGGAGGUGGGGGGACUGAUGCAGGCUGAGGAAGGCUAUCCAAUCCCAUUCAUACACUGCAGUGGGCAGCUCUAAAGCCUCCCCACCAACUCUGCACCUCUCCACCUCCUAGCAUGGCUCCAGCAGCAGCUCCAGGGGCAGCACAGAGAUUGGGGACCAUGCUGCUGCCCAGCCCAGUUCCCUCCACUGGUGCCUGCUUGCUGGACUAGUGGCCUGGCUGCUCUCAGGGAGUCUCCAUACUCUCAGCAUGAAGUUUCCAUUUCUACCUUCAGUCAAGUCAUGAAGCAGCAUAUCAAGUGAAAAUAUACAAGAAAGAGGAGAAAGCCAGCACCGUGGCUUAAUUAAUCUUAUGGGUAGCUGCCAUGCAGCAGGAGGAAGGGUAAACAUGAGACCAAAAUCUUGGCACACUGCAGAAAUAACACACUUCUGCUGCCAGUACAGUGAAGAAAGGAUUUAAUACAAUACACAAGGGAAGAAGUGGAAUAAGGAAGGGGGAAGAGAUGAGGAUUGCCUGAAACUUUUGGGCACCUAAAGGAAGCUCUGUGACAACAGGGCCUGUUUAAAGGAUUAAGCACUAAUUGCACAUCCACAUUGUUCAGUAAGGAAGGUCACCUGAGCCACAGAUGACCCCUUCACCAAAGCACAGAGAAGUGCAGUAAAUGGAUACAUGCCUGGGCAUGUGGCAGCCAUGCUCCUCAAGCACUUGUAUCCCUCAUGCUUCUUUACCUUGCAGGGGCAAAUACCCAGCACUGAAUAAUGUGCUCAAAGCAAGUGCCAGCCACUCCUCUAAUUCUCACAGAUCAUGCCCUCAUUUCCUGCCAAAGCUGAGCCAGGGGGCAGAGAGUUAACAGCUACAAGAAACCUCUAAGCACUUGAGCUGCCUGCUAACAGCACCAAGGAAUUUAUCCACUGCAGAGGAUCGUUUCUCUGGAUAGUGUGAAUUAGGUUUUGUGUGUAUGAAGGCUAGAUAAAGGUUAGGAAUAAGAAGGAAUUACUCCCUUUCCUGGAUGUAGCAAAGACAUGUCUAAUUACAAAUGGAGAUGCUGACAGACUUUUUCUACCUCCUUUGAAAGUAAUGAACAAUUUCAUUCAAGAGCAACAUCAGUAAUUUCUCCAAGGCCAACAGUCAGUUCAAACUAGACAGCACAAAUGCUCAUUGACAUUUUAGAGGUGAACAGCAAAUAAACAUUCAUAGCUGAACAGAUACCCUGCUCUCUUCUUUGUGUUAGAUAUAUUUUUUCAUAGGCAAAAGAAAAUAUAAAAGAAAAAAUUGUUGCUAAGUAGCUUCCACCAAGGCAUGUAACAUCACCCUACCAGGGCUGCCAACCUUGUGGGUAGGAAACUGGGUGAACAUCCUAAAGUAUGUUUCAUGUGCUGGGUUUUAUUCCAGCUGGAUACAUUUUGGAGGGCAGAAUCACUUUGGAAGAGAUGGUGAGGAGACAACAAGCAGAGAUGAAUGAUGGAAGCACCCACAUAAAACUGAGGAGCUGGAAGAGGGAGGAAACAUGCAGCAGGGAGAUGGGUCUGUUCUGGCCAGCACAAAUAUCACUCAGUCAAUGUGUGACUCAGUCAAUCCCCCCUGAGCUUGACAUUUCUCUUGGUAGAAGAUGUCCUCUCCCCAUUUUCUCUGGUCUAAUGCACUGAUGCUUUCAUUUCAAAAGGUGACAUGAUUACAAGGAAUGCUAAAAAUACACAUGGGCUUUCAUUCUACUCCCCCAUCACUGGCGGAACAAAAUUUCCAGCUUUCCUGUUAGCCACAAACAGUGAUUUAAUCUGAUAGGCAUGUGGGGAACAAAACCUCUUCUUUGUUUUCAUUAUCUUCUCCUUUAUGCAACACCAUCAACCAAGGUUCAGACUUAGGAGUCCAGUCUAGUUGUUUGGAUGACCAUUAGUUAGGUUCUCUCCCCUUUGGCUGAACUAAGAGAGUGCUUUCUCCCGCCCAUCCUUCAAUCUUCCAGCCCUUCAGCAUGAUUAAAGGGUACUCUAGCCCAGCAGCAUCCAAACUGCCCUUGCUAUUGUCCGCUUCUGCUACUCUCCCAGGCCCUCACAGCCCUUCCUUGCCGUAAGGCUGAGGAUACAGCAGACACACAGAGCCCAGCUCCAUCGCACAUGCAGCAGCCAGACACUCCCCCAGAACACAAGUCUCCCAGUAGCUGGGCACCACAGAAGUCCUGCCAGCUGCCUGACGUUCCUAGGAAGCCCAGUCCACAGGCGGGGUAAGUAGUCCUUCCUGAGGGAAUAGGGCACAUGGAUGCACAGAUCAGGUGCUCCAAGAUCCAUUCCAGACCAGAGAUGAAUGCCCAGUCUCUCCUGCAGCUGAGCAUUUAAAACCAAGAGUGUUUGAAAAAACAAAGAGUUAACUACACAAACAUUAAACUUUCCAUGCUGCAAAUGCUCAGUGCACUUUCAGUUCUUUGGAGAAAAAAAAAAAUUAAAUCGUCCUAUGGAUGAUAUCAGGAAGACUUUUUGCAGGAGAAAUCUUCUAAAGGAUGGGAAAGAAUUUAAUAAAAUUUCAGUUUAUUCGUAUAACAUUAGGUCACUAUAAACUUUAUCUAUCUUUAAAUCCUUUUAUAUAACAUCAGAAACAUUAUUUUGUUGGUUUUUUUGCUGUGGUUUGAAAGACAUAUCAAAAUACUAUGGUAAUUCCUGCUUAUGAGUUAGGUAUUCAAAAGAGAAGUCUUAAUUGCAAGCUGCAAAUGCUAUAAAUGGCAGACAAUAAAUCUCAAUAACAGGGGAUCAAAAGGAAAGAAUACCCAGUAACACAGUUGUUUUUAUCUAAAACCAGAACACAUUACUCUGGUACAAGACCUCAGUUGUUAGAAGGAAAAUUUGCCCCUCAAGUGACAGAUUCUAUGAAAUACUUCUGAAUUAGGACAAUUAAGAAAAUACAAACAUUUCUACUCAGGAUCAUUGUCAGUAUGACACAACUUAGAGACUGACAUUGGCUUUUCUUUGUCUUUUCAAAAGAAAAUGUCUUUGUCUCUGAUUUGUACAGACAAAGCAUAGGAAUAUUGAAAGGUACUUCUUUAAAUACACUCCAAAAUUUUCAAAAUGUCAUAGAAGAAAAGGGCAACCGAAAGCAUUUUUUGUUGUCCCUAAAUUUUUGAUUCUCUUAAAAUCAGACAUUUACAAUGAGAAAAGCUUUUUGAGGUGGACAUUUUGUAGCAGCAUGUAAGCCUCGUAUAACAACUUCAUAGUGAAGAGAUCUUUAUGUACAAACCCAGCACGUUCCUUUAUGUUGCAGUUAUCGAUCAAGAGAUCAUUUAAGUAUA
rnacentral:lncRNA from 1 species